rnacentral:rRNA from 1 species
AAGUCGAACGAUGAAACCGCCCUCGGGCGGACAUGAAGUGGCGAACGGGUGAGUAACACGUGACCAACCUGCCCCUUGCUCCGGGACAACCUUGGGAAACCGAGGCUAAUACCGGAUACUCCUCGCCCCCCUCCUGGGGGGCCCGAGAAAGCCCAGACGGCAAGGGAUGGGGUCGCGGCCCAUUAGGUAGUAGGCGGGGUAACGGCCCACCUAGCCCGCGAUGGGUAGCCGGGUUGAGAGACCGACCGGCCACAUUGGGACUGAGAUACGGCCCAGACUCCUACGGGAGGCAGCAGUGGGGAAUUUUGCGCAAUGGGGGAAACCCUGACGCAGCAACGCCGCGUGCGGGACGACGGCCUUCGGGUUGUAAACCGCUUUCAGCAGGGAAGAAAUUCGACGGUACCUGCAGAAGAAGCUCCGGCUAACUACGUGCCAGCAGCCGCGGUAAUACGUAGGGAGCGAGCGUUAUCCGGAUUCAUUGGGCGUAAAGAGCGCGUAGGCGGCCUCUCAAGCGGGAUCUCUAAUCCGAGGGCUCAACCCCCGGCCGGAUCCCGAACUGGGAGGCUCGAGUUCGGUAGAGGCAGGCGGAAUUCCCGGUGUAGCGGUGGAAUGCGCAGAUAUCGGGAAGAACACCGAUGGCGAAGGCAGCCUGCUGGGCCGCAACUGACGCUGAGGCGCGAAAGCU